UACGGAGGGUGCAAGCGUUAUCCGGAAUCACUGGGUUUAAAGGGUACGUAGGCCGUUUGAUAAGUCAGGUGUGAAAGCUCGGGGCUCAACUCCGGAAUUGCACUUGAUACUGUCAGACUUGAGUUUGGUGGAGGUACACGGAAUGCAUCAUGUAGCGGUGAAAUGCUUAGAUAUGAUGUAGAACACCGAUAGCGAAGGCAGUGUACCACGCCUUGACUGACGCUGAGGUACGAAAGCGUGGGUAGCGAACAGG
rnacentral:rRNA from 1 species